rnacentral:rRNA from 1 species
AGGGAAUCUUCCACAAUGGACGAAAGUCUGAUGGAGCAACGCCGCGUGAGCGAUGAAGGCCUUCGGGUCGUAAAGCUCUGUUGUUAGGGAAGAACAAGUACCGGAGUAACUGCCGGUACCUUGACGGUACCUAACCAGAAAGCCACGGCUAACUACGUGCCAGCAGCCGCGGUAAUACGUAGGUGGCAAGCGUUGUCCGGAAUUAUUGGGCGUAAAGCGCGCGCAGGCGGUCCUUUAAGUCUGAUGUGAAAGCCCACGGCUCAACCGUGGAGGGUCAUUGGAAACUGGGGGACUUGAGUGCAGAAGGGGAAAGCGGAAUUCCACGUGUAGCGGUGAAAUGCGUAGAGAUGUGGAGGAACACCAGUGGCGAAGGCGGCUUUCUGGUCUGUAACUGACGCUGAGGCGCGAAAGCGUGGGGAGCAAAC